UACGAAGGGGGCAAGCGUUGUUCGGAAUUACUGGGCGUAAAGGGCUCGUAGGCGGCCAACUAAGUCAUACGUGAAAUCCCUCAGCUUAACUGGGGAACUGCGUGUGAUACUGGAUGGCUUGGAUUUGGGAGAGGGAUGCGGAAUUCCAGGUGUAGCGGUGAAAUGCGUAGAUAUCUGGAGGAACACCGGUGGCGAAGGCGGCAUCCUGGACCAAUAUUGACGCUGAGGAGCGAAAGCCAGGGGAGCAAACGGG
rnacentral:rRNA from 1 species